CGACCCUCUCCCCACGCGUGUCCGUGAGCGACUGGCAUUGUUCUGCUUUCGAGAAUGGAGUGACUAUCUCGCCAUCGUGGCCAGCACAUUCACUUUCAUGACGGGAUGGCUCCAUUGAAUGAUGAACUAUCUGGGACCUUCCUCUAAGGCGGCUCAGAAACGAAUCUCUGGAUCCAGAACCAGGUGAUGUUGGCAAGUUGUCUUGCUCUAAGGUUACACUCCUCUGCGCCCAAGUAAGUUCUAUUGAACACAGCGGGACUUAAUUCUUGAGCGCGCGUCGGAUUGACCUGUACAGUUAGGGACUGAUGGGAAGUUAGUCCCACUAGAAUAAUAUCCACCAGGGGCGGGGGUAGCCGGACUCUCAAACACCUUUCAACUGCGGGCAUUCCUCGUGCAUUAUUAUAAUAUAUAACCCAAAGAAUAAGUGUUCCUGUUUACCUCCCACCUCGCAAAAAGCACAGUACCGUCGCCUCUCCAUCCAGGAGCUUCCGCGCCUACUUGGUGGCCACGCCGGCUUAGAUGGGAUCCGGAUCGGAAUUCUCGCCUUGCAAGGUUGCCUUCCUCCUACCGUCCCCACUGAAAUCGGCCGGUGGUUUCAAUCUCUCCGGUUGUCCCGAGGAGCUUCGGAGGACGGAGACCGAAUGGUCUCAGCCAGUCCUUCAGAGUGACUUCUGCAAAAAUUGACGCGGCGCGUUAGAAGAAUUGGGUAGCAAGCGAAGGCUGCGAUCUGGAGGACGCUUACCCGGGAGUAAACCUCACUGAGUACAGCGGGACUUGCUUCUGAGUAAAAUAAUGACGACGACGAUGAUAAAAAUAAUGCACCUGAUUGCUUUGUACAUGACAUUUCUGGAAUAGAUGCGGCGAAGCGCUCCGGGACUACAGAGAUCUCCCUUAGACCGGCAAAGCAUUCCCGUUUAGUAUCCAGAAGGGAAUUCUGGUUCGCAGGAAUUGCAAAGAGAUAUUGAAUAAAUUCCUCGUUUCCUGCCAGGAUGUCUUUGGUUCCCCAAACUCCUGUGGAAUUUGCAGGAGGCAAAGCAGCCUGCGUUGAGUGC